UACGUAGGGUGCAAGCGUUAAUCGGAAUUACUGGGCGUAAAGCGUGCGUAGACGGUUAUUUAAGUCAGGUGUGAAAGCCCCGGGCUCAACCUGGGAAUUGCAUUUGAGACUGAAUAGCUAGGGUGCGGAAGGGGGAGGCGGAAUUUCCGGUGUAGCGGUGAAAUGCGUAGAUAUCGGAAGGAACACCAGUGGCGAAAGCGGCUUCCUGGUCCAGCACCGACGUUCAGGCACGAAAGCGUGGGGAGCAAACAGG
rnacentral:rRNA from 1 species